CAGCAGGCGCGAAACCUCCACAAUGCACGAAAGUGUGAUGGGGGGAUCCUCCGUGCUCAUGUUACGCAUGGGCUUUUGCCAAGAUUAGACCUCUUGGCGAAUAAGGGGUGGGCAAGACCGGUGCCAGCCGCCGCGGUAACACCGGCGCCCCAAGUGGCAAUCGCGUUUAUUGGGCCUAAAGCGUCCGUAGCCGGACCGAUAAAUCCGCUGUGAAAUGGUUGCGCUCAACGUAACCGCGUGCAGUGGAGACUGUCGGUCUCGAGACCGGGAGGAGCAAGAGGUAUKCUGUGGGGACUGGUAAAAUGGUAUAAUCCGCGGUAGACCACCGAUGGCGAAGGCAUCUGGCCAGAACGGAUCUGACGGUGAGGGACGAAAGCCAGGGGAGCGAACCGGAUUAGAUACCCGAGUAGUCCUGGCCGUAAACGCUGUGAGCUAGGUGUUGCCCAUCCUACGAGGAUGGGCAGUGUCGAAACGAAGGUGCUAAGCUCACCGCCUGGGAAGUACGGUCGCAAGACUGAAACUUUAAGGAAUUGGCGGGGGAGCACA
rnacentral:rRNA from 1 species